GCAGGAUCAUAAAUAAAAAAGAUGAGAUUAUUAUGAUGAAAGUGUAUGCUGACAUUAUAAUGAUCUUGUCUAUGUUCUAAAUACAAAGUACCUUCACGAGGUUUAGAAUGAGUGAUAUAAGGAAAGUUAUAUUAGCUAAAUUUAUUUUGAUGUUAUAAAUGGGUUGAUUGAUUGUAAAGGUAUGUGUAGUUAAGUGUAGAGAAUUGAUACUAGAUAUAAUCUAUGUGGGUUUAAGUUAGUUUCUAUGUUCGUAUAACAUAAAAUUUUUACUUGUAACAACACACUUAUUUAAUCA
rnacentral:misc_RNA from 1 species